CACUGCCCAUUUUUUUCUAUAUUAAACCCCUUGUUCUGCCCUCUACUUUGUACCUAUAAACCACAUAUAUUCAUGCAUUCCUUUUCUGAACCAGUAACCUGCUUGCUUGCUGUUUCUUUCUCUCACAUAACUGUACAACAGUUUAUAUAUAUACAUAUAUAUAUUUUGCGUUUCUCUGGAGAGGCUCAAGUUUUUGCAGAGAAAUGAGCAUCUUUUCGUUGGUCACAGGAUGGCCUGGUCCUAGUGGGUUUGGAUCGGCUUCUACUGCUGAGCAGGUUACAGAAGGGAUUGAUGCUUCCAAUCUUACUGCUAUUAUCACUGGUUAGCUUUGCAUUUUCUCCUCUUAAAGGUUAUUAAUUCGUGUUUGUAUUAGCUUAAUGUAUGGUUUUUGGAUUUUCUUUCAGUUUUUCUCGAAAAUCAAAUUUUCAUGAAAUUAAAUUGACCCUUUUUUAUUGGUAAUCAAAUUUGAUAAUUGAGCUUCAAGUUGAAGCUCAUGAUCCUCUGGUUUACAUAAAUGCUGGUCUAGUAUUAUAAUCUGAAAGAAGGAAGAAGAAGAUAACAAAUGAAAGUAUGGAUGCAGGUGGAGCAACUGGGAUAGGAUUGGAGACUGCAAGAGUCCUGGCUCUUCGUAAGGCUCAUGUGAUUAUAGCAGCAAGGAACAUGGAGAAUGCAAAUGAAGCAAAGCAAUUCAUUCUUAAAGAGGUUGAAGAUGCCAGAGUGGAUGUUCUGAAACUGGAUUUGGCCUCUAUGAAAUCUGUCAGAGAAUUUGCUGACAACUUCAUUGCACUUAAUCUACCACUUAACAUCUUAAUGUGAGAUCUCUAUCUCCCUUUUCCUUAUGCCUGUUUACUAGACUUACCUGCCACCUACUCCAUUAUAUAAAUACCAUGAUUCUCAACGUACAUAUUGCAUAUAUAUCCGAGUCAUAAUGAAUCAUUUUAAUUAGAGUUUUUAUUUUUUAAUUUUUUAUUUAAAAAACUGAUACACAUGAAUGUAAUUUUUUCAAGUUUCUUAAAUUUUUUUCAUAACUUAUUUUCUUGUCCACUUCAAAUUAAUAUUAGCUGAUAAGGGAAUUAAAUUGCCUGUGUUACAGCAAUAAUGCGGGUAUUAUGUUCUGCCCAUACCAGCUUACUGAAGAUGGAUUAGAGAUGCAAUUUGCUACUAAUCAUAUUGGUCAUUUCCUCUUGACAAACCUUCUCCUGGACAAAAUGAAAGACACUGCAAAAAACACUGGCAUUGAGGGCAGGAUUGUGAAUUUAUCAUCAAUUGCCCACGUCCACACUUACAGAAAUGGAAUUAAAUUUGAUAAUAUCAAUAAUAAGAGAAGUUACUCUGAUAAAAGGGCAUAUGGGCAAUCCAAGCUAGCCAACUUACUUCAUGUCAAAGAGCUUACCCGUCGCUUUCAGGAAGAGGGUGUGAAUAUUACUGCCAAUGCAGUCCAUCCAGGACUAAUAAUGACCAAUCUAAUGAAACAUUCUGCACUGCUGAUGAGAAUAUUGAAGUUCUUUACCUUUCUGCUAUGGAAGAAUGUACCUCAGGGAGCAGCAACCACAUGCUAUGUGGCACUUCACCCAAGUUUGAAAGGGGCAAGUGGAAAAUACUUUGUGGAUUGCAAUGAGAUAAAACCAAGCGCAUUUGCUAUGGAUGAAUUGCUUGCAAGAAAACUGUGGGAUUUCAGCAACAAGCUCAUUAGCUCAGCUUCAAAAGCUUAAAACAAAUUGAUUAAUUAUGUCUGAGGCUUAAUUCAAGCUUUAAGAUAAAGCAAUAAGAGAAAAGCUAAAGAGCCACAUUUCUCCUCCAUUUCUGAUAUAUACUUAGGAGUGAUCCAUAUAGUACAAGUCAAUUCUAUUAGUUCAGUAUAUAUUCAAAUAUUAAUGUGUUCCUUUAUUCCUCUAUUGUAAUGGGAAUGGAUUUAUUUUAUCAAAGAGGGUGAAUAUGCCACUAGUUGAUUUGGCAGUAGCCUAGUUUGGAAUUAAAGUUAAAUCACAUCCCAACAUUCUAUAUGGAAAACUUUUAUUUAGAUUCGGUCCAUAUUGGAAACAGCAAUACGCUAAAGAUUAAGGAUGUUAAAACUAUUUUGCAAUAUCUACUAACAAAGUUCGAGUUUUAAUCUUUUAA
rnacentral:misc_RNA from 1 species